GAUGAACGCUGGCGGCGUGCCUAAUACAUGCAAGUCGAGCGAACGGACGAGAAGCUUGCUUCUCUGAUGUUAGCGGCGGACCGGUGAGUAACACGUGGAUAACCUACCUAUAAGACUGGGAUAACUUCGGGAAACCGGAGCUAAUACCGGAUGAUAUUUUGAACCGCAUGGUUCAAAAGUGAAAGACGGUCUUGCUGUCACUUAUAGAUGGAUCCGCGCUGCAUUAGCUAGUUGGUAAGGUAACGGCUUACCAAGGCAACGAUGCAUAGCCGACCUGAGAGGGUGAUCGGCCACACUGGAACUGAGACACGGUCCAGACUCCUACGGGAGGCAGCAGUAGGGAAUCUUCCGCAAUGGGCGAAAGCCUGACGGAGCAACGCCGCGUGAGUGAUGAAGGUCUUCGGAUCGUAAAACUCUGUUAUUAGGGGAGAAAAUAUGUGUAAGUAACUGUGCACAUCUUGACGGUACCUAAUCAGAAAGCCACGGCUAACUACGUG
rnacentral:rRNA from 1 species